AGUUCAAAGGAGAGGCCAGGUGUCAGUGAUCAGGCUGAUCACAGCAAUCAACACAAAAAAAGCAGAUUGAACUGUUGAACCCGGUUUCGCGCCACUUCUCCGCAGUUUGAGCUGCGCGCUGCUCUCCUGCUUCAGUGACUCACUAAAAGCCACAGAAGGAACGACAGCCUCCUGACAUGACAUCUCUUCUUGAGACAUUGUAAUCCAACUUGGAUGGAACAACUUCGUGACCUUAAUCACCUUACAGAUGGAGCCCGUUGAGAUAACCACUUAUACCCAUGUGUAUGAUGACAUUGGAAGGCCUAUAUAUGACAAUGUAACCGUGGAAGAAAAUGUAAACUAACCUUUAGUCUAAGCUUGUAUGAUAUAAUUGUGUAAAACUCCUCACAAGGAACGGACAAUUAUUGAUGUGAAACUGCUGACUAAAAAGUUUAAAUCCCAAAGAGAUUGUUGUGGUGUUACUAACAAAUAAUGUGUAAACAAAUAAUCAUGAUUCUGCUUAGACUGCUUAACCAAAAUACGUAAAUCACAUUCUGCUUAGAAUUAGAAAGAUACAAGUAAAAUGAUUGCCUUUAUUGAACAUGUUUAAUAAUCAUCAAUAGCAUAAAUAGGAGGGAAAUGAUGGGGAUAUAAAUGUCUGUUAUGCUCUUGCUGACCUUAUCUAAUACUAAACAGCCAGGAGAGGCUUCUCCUUUGCUGUGACCCCACACGAAGGUUAAAGAACAUAUCUUCGGAAACGUGUCUUGUGAAAACGAUAUGGAAGUGAAAGAGAUGAGCCAGCAACGGAGGGAAAGAACAGGUCAACGCCUCAACGUCUUAACCUCAGUUCAACGGGUUACCCGCAGUUCCACUUCCCUUUUGAUGAUGUGUAUGUGUGUGUUAAGGUUUCAAUAAAAGGCUGAAGCAAAGGGGUGCUCAGUGGGAAGUCUUGGACGUCGACACUGCUCUGAGCAGGUGUGACUGAGCUCCCCCUUUUGCAAAAGCCAUCAAAGAUACUGCUUGUCUGUGGUUCAUUCUCGCCUCCUUGACCGUGAUAUUUACAUGAUAUAGAAAAUACCUAUCACACCUAGCAACACGAGCUAGAGAGACACACAAGCAGCACAGGGGAGGAUCUGCAGCAAAGGGACCACCGGAAAUCAAACCUUGGCCGCCAUGAUGACGACAUGUGGCACUUGAGUGUGAAUCUAGCCUUUUCAUUUUUAUUUACAACAUUAGCAUUGAAAAGAGCAAAAGUUGAUGCUUAAGAUGAUUUAGUUUUUACCGAAGAGGAUGUAUGUCCUCCCUUUGUCCUUUAUCCCCUUACUCUUUCUUUUUAGGUGUGACUACGACUACCAGCAUGAACCUCAACACCUUCUUUGCUGUUCCACUAGUGUGACCCAUGAUCGGAUACAAGUUGUCAAGGAUAAACGGUGAGAAUCAUGUCAGCCCACAGACAACCGAUUGACCUGUGAGCCUUCAAGCAGUAAUGAUGACUACUCCUGCCUUAAGUUCCAGUUUCCUGAACAUCAUGUCGGCAUGAGAUUCUGUCCCCACCUGUCUUCAGUCUGGACCCAAUAAGUUUUUUUUUUUUACAGUGCAUUUACAGUCACAUGGUUUAUUUCGAGGCUUUGUCUGAGUUUCAGUGCUGCAGUUAUUUACCAUUCAGGGUUGUUCAGAAACAUCCAAUUUGUCAUACUCAUUUGAAGGGCUUGCUGCAGUGAUUCUUUUGUGUACACCAGGAUUUCUUUGUAUUUUGGCAUUUCACACAAAUGUUUUUGAAAGAUGGUCAACAAAGUUGCACAAAUAAAUGUUUACAUGCUGUUA